rnacentral:lncRNA from 1 species
CUAGUUAAAUUUGUAAAGUGAUACAUUGUCUUCCAUGUAAUUAAGAAUGUGUGUUAACUAUAUUUACAUGGGGGGAGGGUGAUGCUACCAUACAUCCUACUAAUGGCGAGCUAGCCAUGGCAACUGGUCAUGUUAUGCUAAUAAAAAUAAUACAUUUCUAAAGGUUUGAAGAAUGCAAUUCAUUAAAAAUUGCAUAGCAUGACCUGUUGCAUGGCCACUGAUCUGUGUCUCAAAAAAGUUCAAAUAAGAAUUGUAUUACGGGAGUUGUAUUACCGUAUACCUCCAAAUACAAGUCCUCAAUGCCCAAAUUAAACUACGUCGACCAGCGCAGCAUAUUCACUGACCCUCAGUCCAUACAAUACAUAAGCCUCCACCUACCUCCCCCCCCCCCUCGGCGUAAAUAAGCCAAGAGGUUAAAAUUGAGUAAUUGAAAAGGGAAAAUGCUUUCAAUGGUUACGUUAAUUUGACAAGGGAAUGCUAUGUCACUGUAUAUCUUAGAGCACACUUACGAACACAAAAUUAUUUUCGUAUACAAUAUCGCCCGUCAUAUGUAAGCGCCUCAGCGUGGAAGCCCAUCUUAUGUUGGGAGUAAUACGGCAUUUUUUAAAACGAAACAAUGUCCGAAUAAAACAUCUUGAGCAAUCCAAGACAUGGAUUAAAACAAGAUUAUGGCCAAGCAUAAUAGUUUUUGAAAUUUCGAUUAUUCAUUUAUUUCGUCAAUUACAACAUUAAUAAGAAUCAUUAUGAUUUAAAGUAAUCUAACAUAUAUAGGGCUAGGAGCCUACUAAAAUUAGACCACUGGGUUUUUGAAAUUUGAUUCCUUGUAAAAUAUUUACACGAUCUGUACAGCAUAAAUCAGUUCAAAGCAAUAGUUUAUAAUCAGGGCCGCCGAAAGGGGUUGGGUGCCCCAAAACGAAGAGGCCCCCGAGCCCCAAAAUCAAAAGAGGCCCCCAAACCAACGAAGGCCUUUAAAAUUUCUGGAUAAAAGAUUGCUACUGAGAAUAUAAAUCCUAGCUGCGUUAGUGUCAGACAAAAAUGCAAUAAAUUGUGAUAUAUUGUAAAACACGCUUCCCCCCUUUUACAAUUAUGACGUCAUAACCGGGUCCUUGAAAAGUUUUGGCCCGGGCUCAGCGUUGAACCUCUCGGCGGCCAUGUUCAUGAUACAUUGAAUAUGUACAUAUACAAGAAUUACUGAGAAAGCUUACAAGUCAUUGAUUACGACUAUAUCAUGAUCAAGGAAAAAAGGUACAUAUAAUACACUCGAUACUAAAUGUUGAGGGGUUUUUGUAGAUGGAAACCUCGAGUGUAAAUUUUAGACGUUUAUACACCAAACCAGGAACAACUGCAAAAAAUGCAACUAUAUAUAGACCCUCUGGUAGGAAUCAAACCUACGAUUCCGGCACAGCGCUCUAACCAACUGAGCUACAGAAUCCACUUGCCGAGUUUUAACCACAAGUUCAUGUAUAUAUAGUACAUACUACGUGAUGCCAGUGUAAGGUAUAUGGGUAAAUAUCAGGAUUUCAGGCAUCUCAGUCGAUAUUAAAUGUUGAAUGGUUUUUUUGUAGAAAGAAAUCUCGAAAACCCUUCAACAUGUAUAGUGCAGGGUGUAUCAAAAAAGGUAAAACAAUUUCAGCAUGCUAUCGUGUGUUAUAUAUACUAAGUUUAUAUAUUUACCUUUCACACACUAACAAAGAUAGGCUUUUAGCUGCCAAAUGACACCGUUCUUAUGUCAUUGUGAUGAAAAAUGGUCAGAUGCAAUCCGAUAUAAAGUGGUCGAUCGAAAAUUAAAUGUUCUUCCAAUUUUAGAACAUUUACCUAGGCUAUAUGCUGAUUAGAUCAUUGAUUACCGUCGGCUGUAUAACAAUCGGUUUUUCACAAGUUUUCUUCGAGGCCUUUCAUUUGUUGACUCCAGUAACCGCUACUGUUGAGGCAAACGACCAAUUUUAAUUUUUAAAAUUCCUGCAGUACAUGACUCAGAAUAUUCAUAUUAACUCUUAAUACUUUAUAACAUCGCAAAAUCACUGUCCAAAAUUGAUUGCUAAGAGCGGUCGUAAUCAAUGUAAUGUUAUUUUUCGUUGAAGUACGUAAACCAAGGCAACUGUCAGUUGAAGAUUUCGAUUUCUGUCGUUAAGAAUUGGUACUGACCAGCAAGAAGGUUCUUUGCUUGUUCACUGCUAUAGACAUAACCAGGAGGAAGUUGAUAUGUGCUUCCAAAAUUGCUGUAUGAUUGAUUAACUUGAGGAUUGUUACAAAUGUACAGAUCAUAACCUCCACCAAAGGUUGGUCCAUAACAAAGCGAACAGUAGAUUGCACUGUGCUCCUGACCUUGCUUGAUGUUGGCAAUAAAUGGAGCAAGGUUGUCUUUGUUGCGUAGGGAGAAUAAAAAUGACGCGUUGGAACGUUUCCAAGCACCACCUU